rnacentral:lncRNA from 10 species
AUAGGAAUGUCAUGCCUCUGAGCUCAAGCUAAGCCAUCAUAUACCCUGUGACCUGCACGUACACAUCCAGAUGGCCGGUUCCUGCCUUAACUGAUAACAUUCCACCACAAAAGAAAUGAAAAUGGCCUGUUCCUGCCUUAACUGAUGACAUUAUCUUGUGAAAUUCCUUCUGGCUCAUCCUGGCUCAAAAGCUCCCCUACUAAGUACCUUGUUACCCCCACUCCUGCCCGCCAGAGAACAACCCCCUUUGACUGUAAUUUUCCUUUACCUACCCAAACCUUAUAAAAUGGCCCCACCCCCAUCUCCCUUUGCUGACUCUCUUUUCAGACUCAGCCCGCCUGCACCCAGGUGAAAUAAACAGCCUUGUUGCUCACACAAAGCCUGUUUGGUGGUCUCUUCUCAUGGACGCGCAUGAAAGAAAUCCUGUCUCAAAAUCAAAGGCAAAAGUGGUGGAGAUGGCAUGAGACAGGAGCAUGAAUAGAUAAUUCAGCCACAGAAAUGGGAAGGAAGGCAGAAUACUUUGACCUAGGUGCUGGUUGGUAGGUAGAUUUGAUAAAGG